UCACGACGCAGGACAAGGUGCUUUGUGCUCUCCGUUUCCUCGCAACGGGGAGCUUCCAAAGAUACAUCAGCAGCAAAGAAUUCAUAACCAUGGGGCAGGCUUUCGUGAGCGAGAGCAUUCACGCGGUUGCGGAGGCAAUAACCAUGGUGGGCCAGCGACAGGGCUGGGUGAGCUUCUCGUUGACACCGGCCGGCAACGCUAGCGCAAAGGCGGCUUUUGCGGAUUGCGGCCGCAUUCCCGGUGUAGUGGCCUGUGUUGACAGGACGCUCAUAGCCAUCAAACAGCCUGAAGAACUCAGUCUGGGCAAUACUGCGGGCUUCAUGUCUAGGAAAGGCUUCUACGCAUUGAAUACCAUGAUCGAGACUCAGGCUACCCUCUUGAGCCAUGGCUGCUCACACCUGUGCCAUGCCAUCCAGGCAUUCACACUCCAGAGGGGUGCUACAACUGGGCCUAUGCCUCCAUGAGGGAUGUUGUGGAGAGGGGCAUUGGCGUCUUGAAGGCAAGAUUUCGGUCCCUUCAAGGGUACUGGACCCUCCUUUAUCAGCCUAAGGAUGCAGCCACAAUUGUGGCAGCCUGUGCCACUCUCCACAACAUUGCUUUGAAGGCAGGGGAGUCAAGAGCUGCAAGACAGCGAUGAGGAGGCCGAGGACGACCAGCCACCGCAGCAAGGACAAUUGCAACAGGACUUUCCUGUGUCCGAAGGGCCUCACACCUGCCGGCAGGAAACGCCCAGAGAGUUGCUCCCGAGGGCAAAGCAGAAGAGGAGCCACAUAAUGAGCGUCUUCUCUGUGGCCCCUACCUGGCGUAUAACUCAUCUGCGUGCGCUACGUCAUCAGCUCAGGCAGCAACACCAGGUUUGUCGCAUGGCUCAACCAUAAAGUGAGGCAGACCAUCAAAACUGUGGCAGGAGGUGGACCCGGAUUGGGCCCCUAUGCUUUUGCUCGGCUACAGCGCAAAACAUGGAGAUCCCAGAUGCCACGCUCGCACAGCAUGCAGCCGAGGCAGCGGAAACUGUGGAGGCGACGAACCCGGACGUCGUUACUGCUUCUCAGUUGCCCUCACCGCGUACAGACGAGGAAGACGGUGAAAAAGAGAUUGCAGGCCAGACAGACAUGACAAUGGGUGACCUCAAAGAAUUGGAGUGUGUGUCACUUCAUGAGCAUUUCUAUGCUGGAAGGAAUGAAAACAAGCUUCUGUAACUCUCAGAGGAGUCCCUCAAAUGUAGUGACAGAAAGGUUGCAUACUACACUGGCAUGGCAAAUGUCACGAUCCUUUAUGCACUGUUUAGUGUCAUGGAGAGAUUUGUGUCACACAAUGCGAAAAACAGUUUGCCAAAGUUCCAGGAAUUGCUGCUCUUCAUCAUGAAGUUGAAGCUACAUUUGCGCAUUACUGACCUCGCUUUCAGGUUUAAUGUGUCAGGUGCCACAGUAUCACGCAUAUUUGACAAAAGGCUGCAUGCUGUGUACUGCCGUCCAAAGUCUCAAAUUGUGUGGCCACAACGCAGUGCUCUGCAACGCACAAUGCAGUGUUUUACGAUUCUUUUGGAGAAAAUGUUGCAGUCAUACUUGACUGUUUUGAAAUGAAGACAAAGAGACCAUCUUCGUUUCUGCCCAGAAGUGAAACAUGGUCUCAGUACAAAGGUAGUAACACGGCGAAGUAUUUAAUUGGCAUUGCACCACAAGGUAUCAUCAACUUCAUUUCUAAAGGCUGGGGAGGACGCACUAGCGACAGGCACAUAACUGAGCACUGUGGUUCUUUUAGACAACUUAUUUCCAGGUGACGUGCUCGCAGGCCGAGGGUUCAAUGUCUGAAAGUGUUUGGUUUUGCUGCGCUAAACUUCAUGUACCAGUGUACACAAAGGGGAAGAAGCAACUUUCUGCAGCAGAUGUCCUGAGCACUAGGAAACUAGCAAGUGUAAGGAUCCACAUUGAGCGAGUGAUCAGGCUAAUCAGAAAUAAGUA
rnacentral:lncRNA from 1 species